CAAAACUCGGUCUCAGUUCAGAUUGCAGGCUGCAACUCGCCUGCAUGAAGUUGGAAUUNCUAGUAAUCGCGAAUCAGAAUGUCGCGGUGAAUACGUUCCCGGGCCUUGUACACACCGCCCGUCACACCAUGAGAGCCGGGAACACCCGAAGUCCGUAGUCUAACCAUUAAGGAGGACGCGGCCGAAGGUGGGUUUGGUAAUUGGGGUGAAGUCGUAACAAGGUAAC
rnacentral:rRNA from 1 species